rnacentral:rRNA from 1 species
UGAGUAACCUGCCCUUAACUCUGGGAUAAGCCUGGGAAACUGGGUCUAAUACCGGAUAUGACUCCUCAUCGCAUGGUGGGGGGUGGAAAGCUUUUGUGGUUUUGGAUGGACUCGCGGCCUAUCAGCUUGUUGGUGAGGUAAUGGCCCACCAAGGCGACGACGGGUAGCCGGCCUGAGAGGGUGACCGGCCACACUGGGACUGAGACACGGCCCAGACUCCGUACGGGAGGCAG